rnacentral:rRNA from 1 species
CACGUAGGGCGCAAGCGUUGUCCGGAAUUAUUGGGCGUAAAGAGCUCGCAGGCGGUCUGUUACGUCUGCUGUGAAAACCCGGGGCUUAACCCUGGGCUUGCAGUGGAUACGGGCAGACUAGAGGCAGGUAGGGGAGAAUGGAAUUCCCGGUGUAGCGGUGAAAUGCGCAGAUAUCGGGAGGAACACCAGUGGCGAAGGCGGCACUCUGGGCCGGUACUGACGCUGAGGAGCGAAAGCGUGGGGAGCGAACAGG